rnacentral:rRNA from 1 species
AUUGAACGCUGGCGGCAGGCCUAACACAUGCAAGUCGAACGAGUGGCGGACGGGUGAGUAAUGUCUGGGAAACUGCCUGGUGGCGGGGGAUAACUACUGGAAACGGUAGCUAAUACCGCAUACCAUCAGAUGUGCCCAGAUGGGAUUAGCUAGUUGGUGGGAUAACGGCGCACCCAGGCGACGAUCCCUAGCUGGUUUGCGAGGAUGACCAGCCACACGUGAACUGAGACACGGUCCAGACUCCUACGGGAGGCAGCAGUGGGGAAUAUUGCACAAUGGGCGCAAGCCUGAUGCAGCCAUGCCGCGUGUAUGAAGAAGGCCUUCGGGUUGUAAAGUACUUUCAGCGGGGAGGCGUUACCCUCAGAAGAAGCACCGGCUAACUCCGUGCCAGCAGCCGCGGUAAUUC